GGCAACCAGGGCAAAGCAGGCAAGAUGGCCUCAGGGAAACCCGAGAGGUGGACACAGAAGGCAGCUGUGCCCAGAAGAGGUAGCAACAGGGUUCUCUUUGGCUUUCCUGCCCACCCCCUAAAAGAGAAGUUUUGUUUGUUACCUCUUACCGACAUUUAUUUUGACAAUUUUUUUCUGAGAGACCAUCCUCAUCCUCUCCCAUGAUGUCCACGGCAGAAAAUAUCAACGCGACAAGAAUGGCAAAGCAGCAUACCAGGGCGAAGAUCACAAUGCAUUUCUGCUGGGACUGUCAAGAGAAAGAAGAUAAAGAAAAGUGAGAAGCAGUUUUCACUUAGAAAAGUCGGGAACUGAUGGCUUUUCAAAAUCCUUUGGGAAACAAUUACUUCCGUCACUGCCAGCAGAGGGCUGCCCUCCAAGUGAAAUCUUGAUGUUCAUUCCCGAACACAGCCUUCAAGCCCCACUAAGUAUCUUAGAACAGCUAAAGAAUUCAAGUGCUGUAUCGAGACUUCUGAACAAGUUCUCUCUUCCCCUUUCUGAUCAAAAGCAGUCCAGGAGAUCUGGAGACCUUCUACAAGAUCUUCUACAGAGAGCACUACAAGGCCCAUGAGCGCAAAUUAAAAAUGAAACACAGG